rnacentral:tRNA from 1 species
AAAGGUUUAGUUAAAAAAUAACAUUAAUUUGUCAAAUUAAAAUUAAUAAUUCUAUUAACCUUUU